rnacentral:lncRNA from 1 species
GUCCCUGGGGGAGGAUGGAGUCCCCGGGGGAAGAUGGGUUCCCUGGGGGAGGACGGAGUCCCCGGGGGGAGGAUGGCUUUCCCGCGGGGAGCAUGGCCGUAAAAGCUCUUCACUGAGACAAUAAGCAGGACCUGGGUGUGGCCCAUAGGUCAAGGUCUUGGGUCGAGGUUCUGUUUUCUGAUUCUGGCAGUUGCGCUGCAUGGGGGAGGGUGUCUUUGAUCUUACGACGUCUUGCACUAAAGUCACGGGAUGAGGAGGUGUGAUCUCUCCCAAGUAGUUCGUAAUAAAGAGCGCGUGUGCGCGCCUGUGUGCGUAUGUACUGAGAUGGAGACAGAACAAGUGUUAGCAUUGGUGUGUGUGGGUGAAGGGAUUACAGGAAUUCUUUGCAUCACCUCAGUGCUCAAGAAACCGUGUCCGAGCUUUACUCCAAGCGAACAGCAGAGGGACACCUGGGCCGCGUUCACAGGCUCCUCUGCUGUUCCUAAAGCCUCAGGGCUCAUCCUUGGAUCCCUUCUCUUUUCUGUCUAUAUUCACUCACCCCCUUGGUGAGCCCAACAGCCUCGUGGUCAGAAGAUUCCAGAAUUUCCAUCUCCUGCCUGAGCCUUUCCCAACACCUGGCUGGUAAAUCCAGCGACCGUCUCAACACCUGGCUGGUCGUAAGCAUCCUAACCGCACCGCUCCUCAAAACCCCCGCUGCUGCCUACUCACCUGUCAUUCCCACAGUGUCGCACCUCCUUCAACGUUGGCUCAUCCCUUUGGAGGGCUCAGUUUGGGGAUCAUCAUGAUGCCUCUCCUUCUCUCUCUUCCCCUCAGAUCUGAUCUCUUGGUUCUGCUCUCAAAAUCUGGCCACCGUUCAUCUCGUCCUUCUCACCACCUGACCUAGGCCACCUCCGGCUUUCCCUGUGUCAUCCUGCCUCCCCCAGUCCUGCCUUCACCCACCCCAGCACCCUGUACCUGGAAUCCUGCUGAAGUGAAAGUUCCUGCGGCUCCUUUCUCGAACACUCCGAUGGUCUCCUAUCAAAUUCAGAGGAAAAGGAUGGGGUUUCCUUCGUGGUGACGAAAAUAUUCUCGAGACAGCGAUGGGGGUCGUGCGACUCCACGAAUGUACUAAACCACCCUGAAGUGUCCACUUGAAAGAAGCUGAGCUUUAGGGCAUGUAAAUUCUAUCUCAGGAAAGCUGCUAUUUUGAAAAGCAGCAGAAUACUUAAGAAAUGAUUUUAAAAGCUUGGAGUAAGGGGCGCCUGGGUGGCGCAGUCGGUUAAGCGUCCGACUUCAGCCAGGUCACGAUCUCGCGGUCCGUGGGUUCGAGCCCCGCGUCGGGCUCUGGGCUGAUGGCUCAGAGCCUGGAGCCUGUUUCCGAUUCUGUGUCUUCCUCUCUGUCUACCCCUCCCCCGUUCAUGCUCUGUCUCUCCCUGUCUCAAAAAUAAAUAAACGUUAAAAAUAAAAUAAAAAAAAAAA